CUAAUUCUUUGGUUCUUUCACUCAAGUUUGCAUGUGGUGCUGAGGACCAGGAGGGGGUAUGGUGAGUUUGCUCAGUGAAGUAAUGCUGGUUUCGUAGAAUUUGUUCAAUCCUUGGGGGGUUGCGGGUUCAAUUCUCAACAGCAGUGGCUCAACCAUUCAUUCCUUUGAGGUAGAUAAUUGAGUACCAGUACUUUAGGUAACAGUAACAAUUCACAGGAUGCACU